UUGAAUAUUAAUUAUUUAGGUUCAUAAGAUUAAUAGGGAAAUGGGUUUAAGUCCCAUGCAGCCCCCGCUACUGUAAUUGAUGACGAAAUCAACGUAUAUACCACUGGAGAAAUCUGGGAAGGUGUUGAUUAGGAUGAUUCAUAAGCCAGAAGACCUGCCUAUAUAAGUUGUAAGCA
rnacentral:ncRNA from 2 species